rnacentral:rRNA from 1 species
GACGAACGCUGGCGGCGUGCCUAAUACAUGCAAGUAGAACGCAGUUGCGAACGGGUGAGUAACGCGUAGGUAACUGCCGCAUAGCGGGGGAAAAAUAUUGGAAACGAAAGUUAAUACCGCAUACUGUGAGAUGGACCUGCGUUGUAUGAGCUAGUUGGUGAGGUAAAGGCUCACCAAGGCGACGAUACACUGCCGACCUGAGAGGGUGAACGGGCACACUUGGACUUGAACACGGCCCAGACUCCUGCGGGAGGCAGCAGUAGGGAAUCUUCGUCAAUGGACGGAAGUCUGACCGAGCAACGCCGCUGUGGUGAAGAAGGUUUUCGGAUCGUAAAGCUCUGUUGUUAGAGAAGCGUUAACUACCCAGAAAGGGACGGCUAACUACGUGCCAGCAGUCGCGGUAAUAC